CGCGGCCUAUCAGCUUGUUGGUGAGGUAAUGGCUCACCAAGGCUUCGACGGGUAGCCGGCCUGAGGGGGCGACCGGCCACACUGGGACUGAGAUACGGCCCAGACUCCUACGGGAGGCAGCAGUGGGGAAUAUUGCACAAUGGGCGCAAGCCUGAUGCAGCAACGCCGCGUGCGGGAUGACGGCCUUCGGGUUGUAAACCGCUUUCAGUAGGGACGAAGCUAACGUGACGGUACCUACAGAAGAAGGACCGGCUAACUACGUGCCAGCAGCCGCGGUGAUACGUAGGGUCCGAGCGUUGUCCGGAAUUAUUGGGCGUAAAGGGCUUGUAGGCGGUCCGUCGCGUCAGGAGCGAAAACUCGGGGCUUAACCCCGAGCCUGCUUUUGAUACGGGCGGACUAGAGGGAUGCAGGGGAGAACGGAAUUCCUGGUGGAGCGGUGGAAUGCGCAGAUAUCAGGAGGAACACCGGUGGCGAAGGCGGUUCUCUGGGCAUCACCUGACGCUGAGAAGCGAAAGCGUGGGGAGCAAACAGGCUUAGAUACCCUGGUAGUCCACGCCGUAAACGGUGGGCACUAGGUGUGGGGGACAUUCCACGUUCUCCGUGCCGAAGCUAACGCAUUAAGUGCCCCGCCUGGGGAGUACGG
rnacentral:rRNA from 1 species